AUUGAACGCUGGCGGCAUGCCUUACACAUGCAAGUCGAACGGCAGCACGGGAGCAAUCCUGGUGGCGAGUGGCGAACGGGUGAGUAAAGCAUCGGAACGUGCCCAGUCGUGGGGGAUAACGUAGCGAAAGCUACGCUAAUACCGCAUACGAUCUGUGGAUGAAAGCGGGGGACCGUAAGGCCUCGCGCGAUUGGAGCGGGCGAUGUCAGAUCAGGUAGUUGGUGAGGUAAAGGCUCACCAAGCCGACGAUCUGUAGCUGGUCUGAGAGGACGACCAGCCACACUGGGACUGAGACACGGCCCAAACUCCUACGGGAGGCAGCAGUGGGGAAUUUUGGACAAUGGGCGCAAGCCUGAUCCAGCAAUGCCGCGUGCAGGAUGAAGGCCUUCGGGUUGUAAACUGCUUUUGUACGGAGCGAAACGGCUUCCUCUAAUACUGGGGGCUAAUGACGGUACCGUAAGAAUAAGCACCGGCUAACUACGUGCCAGCCGCCGCCGUAAAAC
rnacentral:rRNA from 1 species